GACAGAGGGUGCAAACGUUGUUCGGAAUUACUGGGCGUAAAGCGUGUGUAGGCGGCCUUGCAAGUCGGAUGUGAAAGCCCCGGGCCUCAACCCGGGAAGUGCACUCGAUACUGCAGGGCUUGAGUAUCGGAGAGGUUGGUGGAAUUCCUGGUGUAGCGGUGAAAUGCGCAGAUAUCAGGAGGAACACCGGUGGCGAAGGCGGUCUCUGGCCGAUACUGACGCUGAGGAGCGAAGCGUGGGAGCGAACAGG
rnacentral:rRNA from 1 species